rnacentral:misc_RNA from 1 species
GAUGAAGAACGUAGCGAAAUGCGAUACUUGGUGUGAAUUGCAGAAUCCCGUGAACCAUCGAGUUUUUGAACGCAAGUUGCGCCCGAAGCCAUUAGGCCGAGGGCACGCCUGCCUGGGCGUCACACGUCGUUGCCCCCCCAUCUACUCCUUCGGGAUUGCGGGGGGCGGAUGAUGGCCUCCCGUGCGCCUCGUCCCGCGGUUGGCCUAAAUGCCAAGUCCUCGGCGACGCACGCCACGACAAUCGGUGGUUGCGAAACCUCGGUUGCCUGUCGUGUGCGGUCGUCGCGCAUCGAGGGCUCGAAAAAAUUGCCGGGCUUCGGCUCGACUUUCAACGCGACCCCAGGUCAGGCGGGGUUACCCGCUGAAUUUAAGCAUAUCAAUAAGCGGAGGA